AUAGCCUAACGGCUGAACCAGCAACUUGGGGGAAUGUAUAGCAAUUGCUAUUUGCACUAAAAUUUUUAGUGUGAAAUCGACUAUGUCGAAUAAAAUUCUGGGUAGAAUUAUGAUAAUGACAUAAUCUGUCCAUAAGUCUUGACCAAAUUACGUGCCAGCAGUCGCGGUAAUACGUAGAAGACAAGUGUUAUUCAUCUUUAAUAGGUUUAAAGGGUACUUAGACGGUAAAUAAAGCCUCAAAAAGGUACUAGUUUGCUAGAGUUUUAUGUGAAGGGGUUUUAAAGUACUACUGGUGUAGAGAUGAAAUUCAGUCAUACCUUGGAUGGCACAGGUUAAGGCGAAGGCAUCCUCUUAUGUAAAAACUGACGUUGAAGGACGAAGGCUUUGUGUCUCGAACAGGAUUAGUUACCCUAGUAGUCUAAGCAGACAAUUAUGAAUGUCAUAGAUUAGAUAUAGUUUGAUCUAUAAAUGAAAGUGUAAGCAUUCCACCUCAAGAGUAAUUUGGCAACAUUGGAACUGAAAUCAUUAGACCGUUUCUGAAACCAGUAGUGAAGUAUGUUGUUUAAUUUGAUAGUCCGCAAAAAACCUUACCACAAUUUGAAUAGAUAUAAUUUAUCAUACAAGCGUUGCACGGCUGUUUUUAGUUAAUGUCGUGAGAUUUUGGUUAGUUCCAUUAAAUUAACGUAAACCCUUAUUUUAUUUAAAAAUAAAAUAGUUCACCGCUAGAUUGGAUGUGAUAACAGGGAUCAAGACAAGUCAUCAUGACCUAAAUAUUGU
rnacentral:rRNA from 1 species